rnacentral:rRNA from 1 species
CCUACGGGAGGCAGCAGUGAGGAAUAUUGGUCAAUGGACGAGAGUCUGAACCAGCCAAGUAGCGUGAAGGAUGACUGCCCUAUGGGUUGUAAACUUCUUUUAUAUGGGAAUAAAAUGUUCCACGUGUGGGAUUUUGUAUGUACCAUAUGAAUAAGGAUCGGCUAACUACGUGCCAGCAGCCGCGGUAAUACGGAGGAUCCGAGCGUUAUCCGGAUUUCUUGGGUUUAAAGGGAGCGUAGGUGGAUUGUUAAGUCAGUUGUGAAAGUUUGCGGCUCAACCGUAAAAUUGCAGUUGAAACUGGCAGUCUUGAGUACAGUAGAGGUGGGCGGAAUUCGUGGUGUAGCGGUGAAAUGCUUAGAUAUCACGAAGAACUCCGAUUGCGAAGGCAGCUCACUGGACUGCAACUGACACUGAGGCUCGAAAGUGUGGGUAUCAAACAGGAUUAGAUACCCCGGUAGUC